AAUUGCUGUUCUAAACAGCAUUUUUGCUGAGUACCUUCUGUAAGUAAAAGCAUAAAGGAGGUAAUAUAAAUAUUUUAAAAAGAUAUGGUCGCCACCUGCAGUUUUCAAUGCUCUUUGCUAUGUCAGUUUAUAAAUUAGUUGAGGCAAAAUGGAAAAAAAAAAAUCAAGAAAUGAGAACUUUAGGGUGCCUGGG